rnacentral:sRNA from 1 species
AAAUGAAUAAUGUUUGUACCGUAGACAGUAGGUGCUCUCAUAUAGAGCUUAAUUUCCUGCCGAGGUAAUUCGAUAAAAAUAGCACUUGCUAUUAUUUUUGUAAUUACUGCCUUCAUGUCUCCGGGAUAUGAAGGCUUUUUGUUUGACGGU